rnacentral:tRNA from 1 species
AGCUCAGUUUGGUAGAGCACGGGAUUGUGACUCCGUUGUCGAGGGUUCGAUCCCCUUC